rnacentral:rRNA from 1 species
CGCUUUCGUGCAUGAGCGUCAGUGUUAUCCCAGGAGGCUGCCUUCGCCAUCGGUGUUCCUCCGCAUAUCUACGCAUUUCACUGCUACACGCGGAAUUCCACCUCCCUCUGACACACUCUAGCCCGGUAGUUAAAAAUGCAGUUCCAAAGUUAAGCUCUGGGAUUUCACAUCUUUCUUUCCGAACCGCCUGCGCACGCUUUACGCCCAGUAAUUCCGAUUAACGCUUGCACCCUACGUAUUACCGCGGCUGCUGGCACGUAGUUAGCCGGUGCUUAUUCUGCAGGUACCGUCAGUUUCGCGGGGUAUUAACCCGCGACGUUUCUUUCCUGCCAAAAGUGCUUUACAACCCGAAGGCCUUCAUCGCACACGCGGGAUGGCUGGAUCAGGGUUUCCCCCAUUGUCCAAAAUUCCCCACUGCUGCCUCCCGUAGGAGUCUGGGCCGUGUCUCAGUCCCAGUGUGGCUGGUCGUCCUCUCAAACCAGCUACGGAUCGUCGCCUUGGUGAGCCGUUACCCCACCAACUAGCUAAUCCGAUAUCGGCCGCUCCAAUAGUGCAAGGUCUUGCGAUCCCCUGCUUUCCCCCGUAGGGCGUAUGCGGUAUUAGCUACGCUUUCGCGUAGUUAUCCCCCGCUACUGGGCACGUUCCGAUACAUUACUCACCCGUUCGCCACUCGCCACCAGACCGAAGUCCGUGCUGCCGUUCGACUUGCAUGUGUAAGGCAUCCCGCUAGCGUUCAAUCUGAGCCAGGAUCAAACUCUC